rnacentral:rRNA from 1 species
AUUGAACGCUGGCGGCAGGCCUAACACAUGCAAGUCGAUCGAGCGGCGGACGGGUGAGUAAUGUCUGGGAAACUGCCUGAUGGAGGGGGAUAACUACUGGAAACGGUAGCUAAUACCGCAUACCAUCAGAUGUGCCCAGAUGGGAUUAGCUAGUAGGUGGGGUAACGGCCCACCUAGGGGACGAUCCCUAGCUGGUCUGAGAGGAUGACCAGCCACACUGGAACUGAGACACGUUCCAGACUCCUACGGGAGGCAGCAGUGGUGAAUAUUAAACAAGGGGAGCAAGCCUGAAACAGCCAUGCCGCGGGUGUGAAGAAGGCAUACGGGUUGUAAAGCACUUUCAGCGAGGAGGCGUUACCCGCAGAAGAAGCACCGGCUAACUCCGUGCCAGCAGCCGCGGUAAUUC